rfam:TPA: Bos taurus chromosome 14, whole genome shotgun sequence.
UCCCUGGUGGCUCAGUGGUAGAGAAUCUGCCUUUACAGGAGAUUCGAGUAUGCAGGAGACACGAGUUCAAUCCCUGUUCCGGGAA